rnacentral:rRNA from 1 species
UCAAGGUGAGAGAUACGGAGGUAGAGCACUGAAUGUCCUAGGGGGUAUUGCACCUACCGAAGACUAUCAAACUCCGAAUGCCGUCAUCUUAUACUUGGGAGUCAGACUGUGGGUGAUAAGAUUCAUAGUCGAAAGGGCAACAGCCCAGAUCGUCAGCUAAGGUCCCUAAAUGUAAGUUAAGUGGUAAAGGAUGUGGGAUUGCACAGACAACCAGGAUGUUGGCUUAGAAGCAGCCACUCAUUCAAAGAGUGCGUAAUAGCUCACUGGUCGAGUGAUCCUGCGCCGAAGAUUUCCGGGGCUAAAACUUACUACCGAAGCUACGGCAUCAGUAAUGAUGGGUAGGGGAGCUUCCCAUACGGGUUGAAGCAUGACCGUAAGGACAUGUGGACAGUAUGGGAGUGAGAAUGUUGGCAUGAGUAGCGAGAUGUGGGUGAGAAUCCCACAGGCCGUAAACCCAAGGUUUCCAGGGGAAGGUUCGUCCGCCCUGGGUUAGUCGGGACCUAAGCUGAGGCCGAAAGGCGUAGGUGAUGGACAACAGGUUGAUAUUCCUGUACUACCGAUAACCGUUUGAGAGAAGGGAUGACACAGUAGGAUAAGCUAAGCACACUGUUGGUUAUGUGUGCCCAAGCAUUGAGGCAGUCAAAGUAGGCAAAUCCGCUUUGAUAAUGCUGGGAUGUGAUGGGGAGCGAAAUUUAGUAGCGAAGUAGCUGAUUUCACACUGUCAAGAAAAGUCUCUAUCGAGGUUAAAGGUACCCGUACCGCAAACCGACACAGGUGGGUGAGGAGAGUAUCCUAAGGCCAGCGAGAGAACUGUUGUUAAGGAACUCGGCAAAAUGACCCCGUAACUUAGGGAUAAGGGGUGCCACCAUCAGGUGGCCGCAGAGAAUAGGCCCAAGCGACUGUUUACCAAAAACAUAGGUUUCUGCUAAGUCGCAAGACGAUGUAUAGGAGCUGACGCCUGCCCGGUGCUGGAAGGUUAAGGGGAUCUGUUAGAGCAAUCGAAGCAGUGAACUUAAGCCCCAGUAAACGGCGGCCGUAACUAUAACGGUCCUAAGGUAGCGAAAUUCCUUGUCGGGUAAGUUCCGACCCGCACGAAAGGCGUAACGAUUUGGGCACUGUCUCAACAACAGACUCGGUGAAAUUGUAAUUCCGGUGAAGAUGCCGGAUACCUGCGACAGGACGGAAAGACCCCAUGGAGCUUUACUGUAGCUUGACAUUGGGUCUUGGUACUACAUGUACAGGAUAGGUGGGAGGCUUUGAAACCAGGACGCCAGUUUUGGCGGAGCCAUCCUUGGGAUACCACCCUUGUAGUACUGGGACUCUAACCAUAGGCCAUGAAUCUGGUCUUGGGACACUGUCAGGUGGGCAGUUUGACUGGGGCGGUCGCCUCCCAAAAGGUAACGGAGGCGCUCAAAGGUUCUCUCAGUACGGUCGGAAAUCGUACGUAGAGUGUAAAGGCAAAAGAGAGCUUGAUUGCAAGACAUACAGGUCGAGCAAGGAUGAAAAUCGGACUUAGUGAUCCGGUGGUUCUGCGUGGAAGGGCCAUCGCUCAACGGAUAAAAGCUACCCUGGGGAUAACAGGCUUAUCUCCCCCAAGAGUCCACAUCGACGGGGAGGUUUGGCACCUCGAUGUCGGCUCAUCACAUCCUGGGGCUGUAGUAGGUCCCAAGGGUUGGGC